UGGAUGGAUGGAUGGAUGGAGAAGGCUUUACCCUUUAGAUCGGGCAGGGGCUCACACCACCUAGCCUUAAUAAAGUUAAAUACUAGGACUCUGUAGUUGAAGGAAUUUUCACUCGAGCCUUGAUUGUUGCCACCAAUCAGAUAACCUCCUCCUGGUUAUUUCUACCCGCUUAAAGUCUAUUUUAUCUUUACUGUCCCUAAACCCCAACGCUUUGAACAAUUCUGCGCCAUUUUCUUGAACUGUAGGGUGAAGACCUUUACAGACCGGUAUCAAGUGUUCAGCCGUUUCCUCCUCGUCUCCACACGUACUACAUAACGUGUCUAUUCCUUCGUAUUUGGCUCGGUACGUCUUGGUCCGCAAUACUCCCGUCCUGGCUUCAAACAGCAGAGAACCACCCCGAGAAUUAUCGUAGAUCUUUUCCUUCGCACUUUCCUGCUUGAAAGUUCGGGAGGUCUUCAGUGCUGAUUUCAUAGUCAUCCCUAUUUUCCACAUGUCCCUCUCAGUUUCUUUCACCUUCUUCUUUACCGAUAGUUCCCUUUGGUUCGGUCCCCUGCCGUUUUCCAAGUAUUUACUUGUCAAUUUUCUGGUCCGCUUCCUCCAUUUUGUAUCCCCGGCCGCAAU
rnacentral:lncRNA from 1 species